rnacentral:rRNA from 1 species
GACGUAGGGCGCGAGCGUUGUCCGGAUUUAUUGGGCGUAAAGAGCUCGUAGGCGGCUUGUUGCGUCGACCGUGAAAACCCGGGGCUCAACUUCGGGCUUGCGGUCGAUACGGGCGGGCUAGAGUUCGGUAGGGGAGACUGGAAUUCCUGGUGUAGCGGUGAAAUGCGCAGAUAUCAGGAGGAACACCGGUGGCGAAGGCGGGUCUCUGGGCCGAUACUGACGCUUAGGAGCGAAAGCGUGGGGAGCGAACAGG